UAUUUGAUCAUAUAAGUAUUACAUUUGAGCAUAUAAGUAUGACAUUUGCAUGAUGAUUCGGCCCAACCCGACUCGUCUCACGAAUAAGGAUUCGUGAGACG